UGGGGAAUAUUGGACAAUGGGCGAAAGCCUGAUCCAGCCAUGCCGCGUGUGUGAAGAAGGUCUUCGGAUUGUAAAGCACUUUAAGUUGGGAGGAAGGGCAUUAACCUAAUACGUUAGUGUUUUGACGUUACCGACAGAAUAAGCACCGGCUAACUCUGUGCCAGCAGCCGCGGUAAUACAGAGGGUGCAAGCGUUAAUCGGAAUUACUGGGCGUAAAGCGCGCGUAGGUGGUUUGUUAAGUUGGAUGUGAAAUCCCGGGCUCAACCUGGGAACUGCAUUCAAAACUGACUGACUAGAGUAUGGUAGAGGGUGGUGGAAUUUCCUGUGUAGCGGUGAAAUGCGUAGAUAUAGGAAGGAACACCAGUGGCGAAGGCGACCACCUGGACUAAUACUGACACUGAGGUGCGAAAGCGUGGGGAGCAAACA
rnacentral:rRNA from 1 species